UACGUAGGGUGCAAGCGUUGUCCGGAAUUAUUGGGCGUAAAGAGCUCGUAGGCGGUCUGUCGCGUCUGCUGUGAAAACUCGGGGCUUAACCCCGGGCCUGCAGUGGGUACGGGCAGACUAGAGUGCGGUAGGGGAGUCUGGAAUUCCUGGUGUAGCGGUGAAAUGCGCAGAUAUCAGGAGGAACACCGGUGGCGAAGGCGGGACUCUGGGCCGAUACUGACGCUGAGGAGCGAAAGCGUGGGGAGCAAACAGG
rnacentral:rRNA from 1 species